rnacentral:rRNA from 1 species
UACGUAGGGGGCGAGCGUUGUCCGAAGUUACUGGGCGUAAAGCGCGCGUAGGCGGCUCGAUAAGUCAGGGGUGAAAUCCCGGAGCUCAACUUCGGAAUUGCCUUUGAUACUGUCUGUCUUGAGUCCGGGAGAGGUGAGUGGAAUUCCUAGUGUAGAGGUGAAAUUCGUAGAUAUCUGGAGGAACACCGGUGGCGAAGGCGGCAUCCUGGACCGACACUGACGCUGAGGAGCGAAAGCCAGGGGAGCAAACGGG